ACAGAAGGCUGCAGAGGGAAGAGGGAAUAAUCCGAAACCACCCAUCACAUGACAGAAAUUCUGUUCUGCUGGUGCAACACUAGUCUGGAUGUCAAUCAAUAACUACAGUGCCUAAGGGGACGAUCAGGAACCAGGGGCGGCAAGAAAGUAUACAGCUGCCCUGCGCCAGCGAUUUUGAUGGCAACACCGGCAAGGGAAACGUGGCAGGGGAGAUUCAGCUUCUGAGGUCAAGAGAUUUUGGGAAUUUAAAUGUUUUGGUACAGACUGUGAUGAUAGGACCUUUCCAAACACCUUGCACAAAACACUUCAGAAAGAGGAUGUAUACAAUGCCCCUGGUAAGGCAGAUCUUUACACAGAUUGUUCCCAGCAGCGUCCAGAGCUACCAUGAUGUGCACCGUUCUGACCAGGAGUGCAGUGAUGGCAGUAACUUCUCAUCCAGUGAGGCCGGCACAAGUUGGACCUUCUGGUUCUGCUACUUCCCCCGCCCUGGGUCCCUCGGGGGCAUCCACACUUUGGAUGGAAAAUCUGGAAAAACUAAUGCACACUAGGGAAGUGAAAUCACACUUACAUGCUCUGUUUUAAACUUGCUUCAACCUAUUCCAACCUCAGCGCUAGAGAGAGGGAUAUGUCACAACUUUCUA